rnacentral:rRNA from 1 species
UACGGAGGAUCCAAGCGUUAUCCGGAUUUAUUGGGUUUAAAGGGUGCGCAGGCGGAAUUGUAAGUCAGUGGUGAAAUCCUACAGCUUAACUGUAGAACUGCCAUUGAUACUGCUAUUCUUGAGUAUAUUUGAAGCGGGCGGAAUGUGUCAUGUAGCGGUGAAAUGCUUAGAGAUGACACAGAACACCUAUUGCGAAGGCAGCUCGCUAAACUAUAACUGACGCUCAUGCACGAAAGCGUGGGGAU